rnacentral:lncRNA from 1 species
CCGGUUUGCUCGUGUGCCAGGGGCCAAUUAACAGAGAAGGUAGUGGACUGGGCAAGCUUUAAGACCGAAGCCUGUAUAGAAGGCAAAACAAAUUUGGUAACUGGUUUGAGUAAUAGACAAACUGGUGAAUAGGUUGGCAAAUUAUUGUUCAAACGUUACAACUAUUUUACUUAUUAAAAUCAAGCUGGUAAAGCAGGAUGUCGUAGCCAAAAAAGCAGACCAAGUAACCAAAUCAGGCAUGUCGAAUUGGCCAUGUAGUUCCAUGCUCUAAACAACCUUGUAGAGAUACAAAAAUUCAACCAAUCAUGUCUCAAAAUGCUUGCGGCUUCCAUUUUUUCUCUAGCAUUUGAUUUGUCACGACAAGCAGAAAUAGAAACCAGACAAAGCAUGAAACUUACAGGAAAAGAUGGGCUCGUGGAAUAUAUCAUCUUCUAGUGAACCUUUCGCAAUCAUCCAUAUUUCAGAAUGAGUGCAUGAAGCCUUUUACCAAUGCUUGGUAUAUCCUCUGUAUUGAUCAAUUGUAGUCGUACAGUACAAGUGAAUGAAAAGACGGUCAGCAAGUAUACUCACACCAAAACUUAUUUUGGAAAGCAGUCAUUAACAGAGUGCAGAGACACAUUCAACAUCUCUACAUAAGAGCCUUGUUAAGGUUGGCAUUACAACCACAAGACAAUAACUAAGUAAGGGGGCUAUGGAGAUAGGGAUUUCAUAUCCAGUAAGGAUAGAAAUGGAUAAAAAAGAGGCAUUAAGAAAUCAACAAAAAAAAAUAAGUGUAGGAAAACAAGCUAUGGUUCUAGAUACCACUUGCAUAGGUUGUAUCCUAAAGACUAUAGUUCUACAUUAAUAUAAAAAGCUUGAUUACUUGCUUCGCAUGAUUCACACGAUCACAACCAAGAUGACACCUUACCUAGAGAUUGUGCUUACUUCCAAUUCACCUGUUCUUUUUGGAUUGGUGCUGAAUUUAUUUCUUGCAAAGUAAGUUUAUUUCUCCUAGAACAUAAGCCAUUUAAUUUUACCUUUUUGCAAAAAAACAAUCUAAAACACACACCUCUGAAUUUACUGAACAACAGUCUAAAUUGGGUACCAAAUUUGAGGCGCCAAAUCUGAGGCACCAAAUUUACAUUUUCCAUAGAAUUGGGUGCCUGACACCUCUAAAUUUACUGAACAACAGUCUAACCGACACUCGACUUAUAUCUCUAUACUUAUAUGUAGAUCAAAGGGCAGCAUAAACAGAGCACUGCUGUCCUGUCGACAUAUACAGAGCACUGCUAACGUCCAAAGCAUCCAUGGUGCUGGAGCAAAUGACCCAUUUGGUGGCACACAUUUAUUAUACCUAUCAUGGUGCUCGACAUGAAUCUGACGCUUCAUGGGCCUCACGUAUGCAAUGCAAAAGCAAGAGCAGCAAUAGGAUGAUGAUUAGUAAUUACGUGGAGGCAGUUGAGCGCGGACUCGACGAGCUUGACGUGCUUGGUCUCCACGGCGAGGCGGGUGGCUGCAGCACCAGGCACCAACUCGGCCUGCGGCCCAUCGAGCACGCGCCCAGCUGACCCAAGCGCCUUCGUGAUGACUGCGCCCUCUGCCGUAGCCCCCUUUGAAGCUAUCUGGAACGACACGAACCACGCAGAGAUCAUCACAACUCCAACAUCAGCCGCCAUGAGAUCCCAAUGCGAGGGAGGAGAGGGUAGAAAGGGGCCGCACGGACCGAGACAUCACUGAAUGGAUUGCUGCAGCGCGGCAAACUUGCCGCAGUUGGCCUAUGCGUGACGAAUCACCCGCUUUAGAUUAGAAAGGGGUCGCACUCGCACACAUCGAAGGCCCCACAGCGCCCGCCAUGACCGCGGUCGCGGAGACAGGAGAGGGGUUAGAUCCGAGGAGGGGGAUGGGCCUGGGAUGGCGAGGGCGCGAGAUCUGAGACGGAGACAGUGUGGACCCACGGUGGUUGGGGUAGCCGUCGCAUGCCGCGGUGGUGCCGUUCUCCAGAUCCACGAUGCAACAAAUUCGAAUCUUGAGUAAGCUGGAGAUGAGGGGAUUAGAUCUUACCAUCUUGCGUCGUGCUGCGGCGGAGGGAAGCGC